AUGGAACGCUAAAAGUUCAUGGCACACAAGGGCGAAACAUUUAUAUAAAUUGCCCCCUGGGUUUCCUGAGAUGAAACAUCUGUUAAAGGCAGGGCUUUGGUCGAUUGUACUGCUGCUCUGAUAAACCAUUAUUAGGAUGAGAAAAUACAAGGAUCAUGAGGUUUGAAUGAUUUCUUCUAAGUGUACCACAGAAUUAAACAGAACAAAUAGGCUUGUAUUUUUACGUUCUUGAUCUAAGCCAUUACAAAAUCCCCAGAAAGUUCCAAGUAAUUAAUCAAAAUGUCAACAUAGCCAAAAAUCAGAUGUGGAGUAAUUGAGAUUGAAGUCAUAGCUUUACCAGAACUCAUACAAAAUCUCUGAACUAAUUAGGAAUAAGGAGGAUUCCAAAAAUCUUAAUGAAGUCUGAUGACUAUGAACUCCUAAACCCUACUGGGCUUCCCCUGCUAGCAGAAGUCGCGAUUCCUCCCCUCUCUGAUCAAGUUGAACCAACCUUGCUUAAAGACCAUGUAAUUAACUUUCCUGAGAUAGUAUGUGCAUAAAGAGCCCAGUUCUUUUGGUGGCCCACCCUCAGAACUAACUGCAAAAUAUGUAGAACCCCAGUGCAAAAUGACAACUCAGGGCCUAUUGUUAAAAAGAACUUUGAGGUGGUGACAAUGGAGCAUGGAAACAAUUGUGAGACCCUUCUGAACAGGAGGCUCGGUGUGGCUGCGCUAGUUAUAAGCCCAAGAAACUGACCCUGCCCAUCAUACCAAUCCCUUUAAUCUCCAAACCUGUAAUUAGAGUAACUGUACAUGCAUGAGGCAUAUGAGCAUAUCACAUUUGGAAGAAAGUUCUUACACCAAAACAAUUUCAAUAUUUUGAUAAUUUGUAUUGUUUAAAGCCUAGGGAUUAUAUGGCAGGAAUGGAUAUUUAGUGUGUCUCCUAAAUUCAAGAGGAGGAAACCUAAUUUAAGAUUGCACAGAAUUUAUUGUACAUUUGAC
rnacentral:lncRNA from 1 species